AUUGAACGCUGGCGGCAGGCCUAACACAUGCAAGUCGAACGAGUGGCGGACGGGUGAGUAAUGUCUGGGAAACUGCCUGAUGGAGGGGGAUAACUACUGGAAACGGUAGCUAAUACCGCAUACCAUCGGCGGUGACCGGAUGGGAUUAGCUCGUAGGCGGGGUAAAAGAUCACCUAGGCGACGAUCCCUAGCUGGUCUGAGAGACUGACCAGCCACACUGGAACUGAGACACGGUCCAAACUCCUACGGGAGGCAGCAGUAGGGAAUCUUGCACAAUGGACGAAAGCCUGAUGCAGCCAUGCCGCGUGUAUGAAGAAGGUCUUCGGAUUGUAAAGUUCUUUCAGCGGGGAGGCGUUACUCGCAGAGGAAGCCACGGCUAACUCCGUGCCAGCAGCCGCGGUAAUUC
rnacentral:rRNA from 1 species